GGGGCUAUCAGUCCAACUCCUCAGUUAAUAGCCAGGGAAACAGAAGCCCAGGGAGAUAAAGACGGUGGCAGAGGAGGAAUUCUUUCUUAGCAGAUCUUCCAUUCCUAAUCCAGGAUCAUUUCCAGGGCUCCCAGGAGAAAUCUUUUGCCACAUUUGGAGAAAGGAUUGAAGAGAAAUGAGAGCCUGGAUGUGAAGAAAACAUUAGGAAGCUGCAGCAGUAACCUAUGUGAGAAAUUAAGAGAACCUAAAUCAGAUCCGUUGGCCAUCAAGAUUUCACUCAUUUUGAGACCUAGAGAUUGGUGCUCCUGGAGCUGUGAAAUGCGUGGCCUCUGUAGCCCUGGCCCCAUCAGCAGAGGGAGGAGAAGAGGAGAAGCAGCUGGACAUCAGAGACUAUGGUUGGACAUUGGAGAGAAGCAGCUUGACUUCAAAGGGACGGCUUGAUGGCAUUGCUUCGGAGAGGAGUUCAGCCAGGGACAGCUGGACUCUAGGGGAAUAUUAUCUUCCCACACCAUCCACUUUUCAGCUCCCCUUCCCACUGAGAACCACUUUCAUUGGC
rnacentral:lncRNA from 1 species